AUGGCCGGCGCGGGCUCGUCGGACGCGGAGGCGGAGCUGCGGCGGGGCUUCAAGGCCUUGGCCGUGACGCGGCCCGACCCGGCGGCUGCGGUGUACGAGGUGCGCCUCAGCCGCCCGGCGCAGCUCAACGCGCUCAGCCCGGACUCCUUCGCGGAGAUCCCGCGCGCCAUGGCGCUGCUCGACCGCAUCCCCGCCGCGCGCGCCGUCGUGCUGUCCGCCGCGGGCCCCCACUUCUGCGCGGGCAUCGAGCUCGGCGGGCCCGGGAACCCGCUCACCGCGCCCCCCGCCCGCGGCGCCGACCCCGCGGCCAUGGCGGAGGAGCUCCGCCGCGCGAUCCUGGGCAUGCAGGCCGCGCUCACCGCCGUCGAGCUGUGCCGGAAGCCCGUCAUCGCGGCCGUGCACGGCGCCUGCGUCGGCGGUGGCGUCGAACUGGUGGCCGCCUGCGACAUACGCUGCUGCUCCAAGGACGCCACCUUCGUGCUCAAGGAGGUGGACAUGGCCAUCGUCGCCGACCUCGGCGCGCUGCAGCGCCUGCCGCGGAUCGUCGGCUACGGGAACGCGGCGGACCUCGCGCUCACCGGCCGCAGGAUCACCGCCGCGGAGGCCAAGGAGAUGGGGCUCGUCACCAGGGUGUUCGAUUCCAAGCAGGAGCUGGAUGCCGGUGUUGCGAAGAUUGCCAAAGAAAUAUCAGAGAAGUCGGCAAACGCAGUGAUGGGAACAAAGGCAGUUCUACUCAGAAGCAGAGAUAUCACUGUAGAGCAGGGCCUGGAGCAUGUAGCGACUUGGAACUCUGGAAUGCUGAGAUCUGAUGACCUGAUGGAGGCCAUCAAAGCUUUCAUGGAGAAGCGGAAGCCUGUUUUCUCUAAGCUCUGA
rnacentral:rRNA from 1 species